UGAGGUGUAGCGCAGUCUGGUAGAGCACAUGGUUCGGGACCAUGGUGCAGGGGGUUCGAGUCCAUUCACCUCGA
rnacentral:tRNA from 1 species